ACGGCUCAGUAACACGUGAUCAACUUGCCCUAUGGAGAAAAAUAACCUCGGGAAACUGAGGAUAAUAUUUCAUAGUUGAAUAGGCUUGGAAAAGUUUUUCAAUUAAAGGGAUAAGAUAAAUGGUUCUUAUUUGCCAUAGGAUAGGAUCGUGCUCGAUUAUGGUAGUUGGUGAGGUAAUGGCUCACCAAGCCGAUAAUCGAUAGGGGCCGUGAGAGCGGGAGCCCCGAGAUGGGUACUGAGACAACGACCCAGACCUUACGAGGUGCAGCAGGCGCGGAACCUCCGCAAUACACGAAAGUGUGACGGGGUUACCCAAAGUGUUCAUAAUUGAACUGUGGUAGGUGAGUAAUGUCCCCUACUAGAAAGGAGAGGGCAAGGCUGGUGCCAGCCGCCGCGGUAAAACCAGCUCUUCAAGUGGUCGGGAUGAUUAUUGGGCUUAAAGUGUCCGUAGCCGGUUUAGUAAGUCCCUGGUAAAAUCGGGUAGCUUAACUAUCUGUAUGCUAGGAAUACUGCUAUACUAGAGGACGGGAGAGGUCUGAGGUACUACAGGGGUAGGGGUGAAAUCUUAUAAUCCUUGUAGGACCACCAGUGGCGAAGGCGUCAGACUGGAACGUGCCUGACGGUGAGGGACGAAAGCCAGGGGAGCGAACCGGAUUAGAUACCCGGGUAGUCCUGGCCGUAAACGAUGCAUACUAGGUGAUGGCACGGCCAUGAGCCGUGUCAGUGCCGUAGGGAAACCGUUAAGUGUGCCGCCUGGGAAGUACGGUCGCAAGGCUAAAACUUAAAGGAAUUGGCGGGGGAGCACCACAAGGGGUGAAGCCUGCGGUUCAAUUGGAUUCAACGCCGGA
rnacentral:rRNA from 1 species